UUUAAUAUGGCAGAUUAGUGCGAUAGAUUUAAGCUCUAUAUAUGGAAUAUACUCCUAUUAAAA
rnacentral:tRNA from 1 species